rnacentral:rRNA from 1 species
AUGAAUAUUUUUUAUUGGUAUUGCUGGGGGGACUGUCGGACAGAUCAUGAGGUUUUGGCCCUCUCAAAAGCCAACAACUGCAAGCUAGUCUUCCUUUGUGAGACUAGACAGGAGGCAACCAAGAUAGAGAAGAUGAAGUAGAGGCUGGGUCUAAAAGGUUUCCACGAUGUCGGUAGUGAUGGAAGAAGCGGAGGGCUAGCAGUGUUCUGGGAUGAAAAUCUCACUGUUACAGUUUUGGAAUCUUGUAGUAGGUGCAUUGAUGUUCGGAUCCUUGAAGGAGGCUCUAGUAUCGCAUGGAGGGGUACUUUUGUUUAUGGGGAGCCGAGAGUGGAGAAUCGUCAUCAGAUGUGGGAUCAUCUAUGUCGUCUGCGGGCCGUGUCGCGAGAGCCAUGGGUCGUUUGUAGCGACUUCAAUGAAGCACUCUGGCAGCACAAGCAUUUGUCAAGAUCAGCCAGGGCGGAGACACAAAUGUCAGCAUUCAGGGACUGCCUACAAACAUGUGAGCUUGAGGAUCUCGGGUUCUCAGGCCUCCCAUACACAUAUGAUAAUGGUCAAGAGGGUUUUUGCAAUGUUCAGGUCCGCCUCGAUCGUGCCUGUGUGGAUGAAGCACUAAGGGUCAUCUAUCCUGCGGCACGGGUGGUGCACCGGGCCACCUCCUGCUCUGACCAUAGUCCUAUGUUGAUCAACUUGGAAGGAGUGCAGGAACCGAGGCAUAGGAUGUGA